AGCGAACGCUGGCGGCAGGCCUAACACAUGCAAGUCGAACGGCAGCAUAGUAAGUGCUUGCGCUUACGGGUGGCGAGUGGCGGAAGGGUGCGGUAUACAUCGGAAUAUACAUUGUCGCGGGGGAUAAUGUAGGGAAAGUCACGCUAAUACAGCAUACGACCUACGGGGGAAAGCAGGGGAUCGUCGGACCUUGUGCGAAUGAAUGAGCCGAUGUCGGAUUAGAUAGUUGGCGGGGUAAAGGCCCACAAAGGCGACGGUCCGAAGCUGGCCUGAGAGCGUGAUCAGCCACACUGGAAGUGAGACACGGUCCACACUCCGACAGGAGGCCGCAGUGGGGAAUCUUGGGCGAUGGGCGCGAGCCUGAUCCUGCCCUACCGCGUAGAUGAAGAAGCCGCUCGGGUUGGUGAACCCUUUUGUUGGUAGAGAAAUGCAGCUCUUUAAUCCCCCGCUGCACUGACGGUACCCGGAGAAUAAGCCCCGGCUAACUUCGUG
rnacentral:rRNA from 1 species